rnacentral:lncRNA from 1 species
GGAUUCUGUUUCUUGGGAGAGACGGGCCACGGGACUGCGUCCUGGUUUUCAGGGGCCUGGGGCGCCUGACUCUACCACCCGCGCUGUGGAGGCCGAGGCAAGGCUCGCCUGCAGAUAUGGGCUUGUGUUUGUUCUGUUCCUGGAAGACAUGCGCUGCCACCGAGUCACUGGGCUUUUGACUCAGCUGUGUUUCCUCCUGCAGAUGAACCCAAACCCAGGCUUUGGAGUCAGCAGAGCCAGCUGGGGCAUCAGCCUCCCACUGGCGUCUGUGUGACUUUGGGCAAUUCUCUUGACCUCUCUGAGCUUCGGUUUUCGGUCUCUCUGAAAUGGGAGGAACCAACUAGACCAGCGUCUCAAUCCCUGGACUCAAGCCUUGGACAUCUCAAGUGGGCUGUCUGGAGCCCCCUACACUGGGCCCAGGUGGAUCUUAUCAAUUCACUCAACAAAUAUUUGCUGAACUCCCAUCUGGGCUGGCUCUGCCUGUGAGGCUAGGAACGUCAAAAGGAACCCAGGCAGCCAACCCUCCAGGACCUUGGGGUGGUGUGAAGGCCCCAGAUUUCUGAAAGUGGAACAAAGCCAGACCCUGUGGCCGCCACCUUCUGGCCAACCUCAGAUGGAGCCUUCCAGACACAUCAACUCCCAGGGCUGUGGAAAGAAAAGAUGGAGUCUCUACCUGGCCGGUGCCAUGACACCUGCACACGUGGCAACAAAGAAAAGGGAAGAGAAAGACUCCAUGUUGACUCUACCUGGCUCCCAGACGGAGUUCCGCUCUUUUUGCCCAGGCUGGAAUACAAUGGCACGAUCUCCACUCACUACAAGCUCUUCCUCCCGGGUUCAAGCAAUUCUCCAGCCUCAGCCUCCUGAGUAGCUGGGAUUACAAGUGCCCGCCACCACGUCCAGCUAAUUUUUGUAUUUUUAGUCAAGAUGGGGUUUCACCAUGUUGGCCAGGCUGGUCUCGAACUCCUGACCUCAGGUGAUCCUCCCGCCUCAGCCUCCCAAAGUGCUGGGAUUACAGGCAUGAGCCACUGCACCUGGCCAAUGGAUCCAUUUCAAAAAUCUCUUAA